AACCUAGCACACCUGCGGUGUGUACCUGCGGAAGGAUCAUUACCGAGUUUACAACUCCCAAACCCCUGUGAACAUACCUAUACGUUGCCUCGGCGGAUCAGCCCGCGCCCUGUAAAACGGGACGGCCCGCCCGAGGACCCUAAACUCUGUUUUUAGUGGAACUUCUGAGUAAAACAAACAAAUAAAUCAAAACUUUUAACAACGGAUCU
rnacentral:misc_RNA from 1 species